rnacentral:misc_RNA from 1 species
AACAUCGCGCACCUGCGGGAACCUGCGGAGGGAUCAUUACAGAGUUGCAAAACUCCCUAAACCAUUGUGAACGUUACCUAAACCGUUGCUUCGGCGGGCGGCCCGGGUCCUUCCCGGCGCCCAUCGGCCCUCGCGGGCGCCCGCCGGAGGUAAACCAAACUAUUGCAUUGUAUGGCCUCUCUGAGUCUCCUGUACUGAAUAAGUCAAAACUUUUAACAACGGAUCUCAGAUCGGAAGAGC